GUKUGAUCCUGGCUCAGAUUGAACGCUGGCGGGAUGGUUUACACAUGCAAGUCGAACGGCAGCAUGGGGGCAACCCUGAUGGCGAGUGGCGAACGGGUGAGUAAUAUAUCGGAACGUACCCAAGAGUGGGGGACAACCAGUCGAAAGAUUGGCUAAUACCGNAUACGAUCUAAGGAUGAAAGUGGGGGACCUUCGGGCCUCACGCUCCUGGAGCGGCCGAUAGCUGAUUAGCUAGUUGGUGGGGUAAAGGCCUACCAAGGCGAUGAUCAGUAGCUGGUCUGAGAGGACGAUCAGCCACACUGGGACUGAGACACGGCCCAGACUCCUACGGGAGGCAGCAGUGGGGAAUUUUGGACAAUGGGGGAAACCCUGAUCCAGCAAUGCCGCGUGAGUGAAGAAGGCCUUCGGGUUGUAAAGCUCUUUUGUCAGGGAAGAAAUUGAUUGGGCUAAUAUCCCGAUUAGAUGACGGUACCUGAAGAAUAAGCACCGGCUAAAUACGUGCCAGCAGCCGCGGUAAUACGUAGGGUGCGAGCGUUAAUUGGAAUUACUGGGCGUAAAGCGUGCGCAGGCGNUUGUGUAAGAUAGAUGUGAAAUGCCCGGGCUCAACCUGGGAAUUGCAUUUGUGACUGCACGGCUAGAGUGUGUCAGAGGGGGGUAGAAUACCACGUGUAGCAGUGAAAUGCGUAGAUAUGUGGAGGUAUACCGAUGGCGAAGGCAGCCCCCUGGGAUAACACUGACGCUCAUGCACGAUAGCUGGGGGAGCAAACCGGAUUAGAUACCCUGGUAGUCCACGCCCUAAACGAUGUCGACUAGGUGUUGGGUCUUAAUUGACUUAGUAACGCAGCUAACGCGUGAAGUCGACCGCCUGGGGAGUACGGUCGCAAGAUUAAAACUCAAAGGAAUUGACGGGGACCGCACAAGCGGUGGAUGAUGUGGAUUAAUUCGAUGCAACGCGAAAAACCUUACCUACCCUUGACAUGUCAGGAAUCCCGAAAAGAUUUGGGAGUGCUCGAAAGAGAGCCUGAACACAGGUGCUGCAUGGCUGUCGUCAGCUCGUGUCGUGAGAUGUUGGGUUAAGUCCCGCAACGAGCGCAACCCUUGUCAUUAGUUGCUACGAAAGGGCACUCUAAUGAAACUGCCGGUGACAAACCGGAGGAAGGUGGGGAUGACGUCAAGUCCUCAUGGCCCUUAUGGGUAGGGCUUCACACGUCAUACAAUGGUGCAUACAGAGGGUUGCCAACCCGAGAGGGGGAGCUAAUCUCAGAAAGUGCAUCGUAGUCCGGAUUGAAGUCUGCAACUCGACUUCAUGAAGUUGGAAUCGCUAGUAAUCGCGGAUCAGCAUGUCGCGGUGAAUACGUUCCCGGGUCUUGUACACACCGCCCGUCACACCAUGGGAGCGGGUUUUACCAGAAGUAGGUAGCUUAACCGUAAGGAGGGCGCUUACCACGGUAGGAUUCGUGACUGGGGUGAAGUCGUAACAAGGUA
rnacentral:rRNA from 1 species